CCACAAUGUCCUCAUAGUCUUCUGGGUUUAUCAACAAAAAAUGGUGAUUCCUCUCAUGAGGACAAUCCGAUCUCCGUCAAGCCCACAAGCUUGCAAGGGUUCCCCCAUGUGCGAGCGUCAAAUCUCUACGACGUGAUCACCGAAGGUGGUUGGAGUGUCAUCGGCGGCAACUGGUUUUACUGCAGAAAUUUUGGGGAUCGGAGAACUGGAUUGAGUCGUGCUAGAAAUUUGUGGUGUCUUUGUACUGUUCAGAAUUCCUUCUUGAUUCGUAGGGGAAUACAGAAGAUCUUUGUCUUCUUUCACCAAGAUAAUUGGAUCAUCUUGCUAGAGGCCAUGAGUGACCAACCAUGCCACAAUGGGCAGCUUCUGAAGAAUGUCUCUAACAAGUGAAUAACGAGGGAAUAAUUUAUACAAUCUAGAGGGCGGACAGGAUCUUCCUAUAAAUACUGCAAUUGAGGAAAACUAUUUCAAACCCUUCCUCAUGGAAAUAACUCAGAUAUGGGUCUAUCUUUGAGGUUUUUAUAUUGUAGAUUCAUUAAGUUCUACAAUGCGUGAUUAUACGAUGUUUUGGAAUUCUAAGUUGGAUGCUGUUAAAAAUUUUAAUAUUGAUGUGAAAGAAGAUUAGUAUAUUUAAGUUUGUCCUGAUUUAGCUGAUGCCUUGAGAAGACAUGAUGAUGGUUAGAAUCAAGAAUGACUUUUAUGGGAGUGUUUGAUCUUUAGAUCAGAUGGCACCAUUCUUCUCUACUUCAGACUGUCAACUGAAUUUGGAACCAAACCACCUGUGGGCUAAAAUCUUAAAGGGGGUUUCAUUUCCGAAGAGUGGUUUUGAUGAGGCUUAAAAAAAUGGAGUAGGCCGUCCCGGAUUUGGUCUAGCAUUAUUGAGGGAAGAAGAGUGUUAUAGAAGGAAAAUAAGAAGUCAAACCCAUCAAUUUUAAACUAAAUAGAUUUGGAAAAUUCGUAUUUGUCGACGAAGAACACUAAUUCCGCAAAGGACCACCCGCUGCAGACUGAGCUAGAUCAUGCGAAAACAUGAAUGAUAUUUGUAAGAGAAAAUUGCUGAUCCAGUGGAUUUGACCAAUUACGAAAAACCGAAUCAAUCAACUUCUGAAGGAAGAGUGUUAGAAGGCAAUGUUAUUCUCAGCAUUGGUAAUGGAAAGGCCACUCGUUUUUGGAAAGAUCCUCGGCAGCCAACUCAACUGGCAACAUGGGUAGACGCAAAGGCACAUAAGAGUAUGAGGUUACAAGUUUGAACCUAGUUGAGUGAAGGUAAAAAUAUUUGACAUGGCAGUGACAAAUGACAUAGCGGUGAGGUGGCACUGGUUCACUGAGUGACUAGGUGGUGGUGAGAUGGCAUUGGUCCACCAGGUGACAUGGCAAUGAUAUUUUGGUCCAUCUAAUAAAUUUAUGAUGGAAUUAGCAAUGGAAUAAGCCCGUUGAAAAGUUAGCGACGGAAUUCAUA